GAUGAACGCUGGCGGCGUGCUUAACACAUGCAAGUCGAACGAGAAGUGAAGACGGAACCCUUCGGGCGGAAGGCUUUAUUUCGAGUGGCGGACGGGUGAGUAACGCGUGGGUAACCUGCCUCAUACAGGGGGAUAACAGUUGGAAACGACUGUUAAUACCGCAUAAGACCACAGCACCGCAUGGUGCGGGGGUAAAAACUCCGGUGGUAUGAGAUGGACCCGCGUUCGAUUAGCCAGUUGGCGGGGUAACGGCCCACCAAAGCGACGAUCGAUAGCCGAUCUGAGAGGAUGACCGGCCACAUUGGGACUGAGACACGGCCCAAACUCCUACGGGAGGCAGCAGUGGGGAAUAUUGCACAAUGGGGGAAACCCUGUUGCAGCGACGCCGCGUGAGUGAAGAAGUAUUUCGGUAUGUAAAGCUCUAUCAGCAGGGAAGAAAAUGACGGUACCUGAGUAAGAAGCCCCGGCUAACUACGUG
rnacentral:rRNA from 1 species